UCUGGUGUGGUCUGGGGCUAUUCUGUAUGGGCUGAAGCCUUUUAAAGUUGUGCGGUGAUCCUCGGUGUAUUCUGGCUGUCUCAGCUGUGGCACACGCUGAGACAGGGAAACAUCAGAAAUGGUUUUUGCUUACCAAAUUUUCAUCUAACAAAUUCUCUGCUUUUUUGGACUGUAAAAAUAUUUGAUCUUGUGGAACAAGCAAAAGCUAAUGAGAAAUGAAACCCCAAAAGAAAUAUCAACCACUUCGCAAUGAAUAAUAACAAAAAUUUCUGAAUGCAGUUUUUUGCAGAUAUCAUUCUUCCUCUGAACCAACUGUGUUGAGAAAGACCUAAAAAUACUGAUAAGUGCAUGCAGUUGGAGAGAUCACAUACAGGGGCAUUAUUUCAAAGUGAGGUUCACCACUGACAUGGAUAUAUUACAUUGCAUGCAAGAGAUUUACGAG